GGUGGUGACACAGGGACAAAGAAACCUAAACCAACCAAAGGUGAUAAUGGUGGUGACACAGGGACAAAGAAGCCUAAACCUACCGAAGGUGGUAAUGGUGGUGACACAGGGACAAAGAAACCUAAACCAACCAAAGGUGAUAAUGGUGA
rnacentral:lncRNA from 1 species